GAUCAUGGCUCAGGAUGAACGCUAGCGACAGGCUUAACACAUGCAAGUCGAGGGGCAGCAUGAUUUGUAGCAAUACAGAUUGAUGGCGACCGGCGCACGGGUGAGUAACGCGUAUGCAACUUACCUAUCAGAGGGGGAUAGCCCGGCGAAAGUCGGAUUAAUACCCCAUAAAACAGGGGUCCCGCAUGGGAAUAUUUGUUAAAGAUUCAUCGCUGAUAGAUAAGC
rnacentral:rRNA from 1 species